AGUACGGCCGCAAGGUUAAAACUCAAAUGAAUUGACGGGGGCCCGCACAAGCGGUGGAGCAUGUGGUUUAAUUCGAUGCAACGCGAAGAACCUUACCUACUCUUGACAUCCUGCGAAUUCGGUAGAGAUACCUUAGUGCCUUCGGGAACGCAGAGACAGGUGCUGCAUGGCUGUCGUCAGCUCGUGUUGUGAAAUGUUGGGUUAAGUCCCGUAACGAGCGCAACCCUUGUCCUUAUUUGCCAGCGCGUAAUGGCGGGAACUCUAAGGAGACUGCCGGUGACAAACCGGAGGAAGGUGGGGACGACGUCAAGUCAUCAUGGCCCUUACGAGUAGGGCUACACACGUGCUACAAUGGUCGGUACAAAGGGUUGCCAACUCGCGAGAGUGAGCCAAUCCCGAAAAGCCGAUCUCAGUCCGGAUCGGAGU
rnacentral:rRNA from 1 species